UAUAGUUUGUUGUAUGAUGCAAAAAGAAUUUUGAUUUCUUUAGUUCUAGUUUAAUUCUAGGAGCUAUAA
rnacentral:tRNA from 1 species